UACGUAGGGGGCAAGCGUUGUCCGGAUUUAUUGGGCGUAAAGAGCGUGUAGGCGGCCAUACAGGUCCGUUGUGAAAACUGGAGGCUUAACCUCCAGACGUCGAUGGAAACCGUAUGGCUAGAGUCCGGAAGAGGAGAGUGGAAUUCCUGGUGUAGCGGUGAAAUGCGCAGAUAUCGGGAAGAACACCCGUGGCUAAGGCGGCUCUCUAGUACGGUACUGACGCUGAGACGCGAAAGCGUGGGGAGCGAACAGG
rnacentral:rRNA from 1 species